GAGUUUGAUCAUGGCUCAGAUUGAACGCUGGCGGAAUGCUUUACACAUGCAAGUCGGGCGGCAGCACGGGGGCAACCCUGGUGGCGAGCGGCGAACGGGUGAGUAAUACAUCGGAACGUACCCUGUCGUGGGGGAUAACGAAUCGAAAGAUUCGCUAAUACCGCAUACGACCUGAGGGUGAAAGCGGGGGAUCGCAAGACCUCGCGCGAUAGGAGCGGCCGAUGUCGGAUUAGCUAGUUGGUGGGGUAAAGGCUCACCAAGGCGACGAUCCGUAGCGGGUCUGAGAGGACGGCCCGCCACACUGGGACUGAGACACGGCCCAGACUCCUACGGGAGGCAGCAGUGGGGAAUUUUGGACAAUGGGGGCAACCCUGAUCCAGCCAUUCCGCGUGAGUGAAGAAGGCCUUCGGGUUGUAAAGCUCUUUCGGCAGGAACGAAACGGCGGGCUCUAACAUAGCCUGUCAAUGACGGUACCUGAAGAAGAAGCACCGGCUAACUACGUGCCAGCAGCCGCGGUAAUACGUAGGGUGCGAGCGUUAAUCGGAAUUACUGGGCGUAAAGCGUGCGCAGGCGGCUUUGUAAGACAGGUGUGAAAUCCCCGGGCUUAACCUGGGAACUGCGCUUGUGACUGCAAGGCUCGAGUGCGGCAGAGGGGGGUGGAAUUCCACGUGUAGCAGUGAAAUGCGUAGAGAUGUGGAGGAACACCGAUGGCGAAGGCAG
rnacentral:rRNA from 1 species